GGAAUAUCUAAAACUCGAAGGGGCCAAAUACUAGAACACAAUCGCAGACUGAGCGCUUUGCCCUAAUCCAGCCGCCGGUUCCUUUUGUCCCAGACGGUUUGCCGUUUGCCGCCGGACGGAUCUUCUCUGGCGUCGUUCUCGCCGCUACCUUUGUCGAAGGUCUUCAUUCCACCGAGGAUACGAUAAACCAGAGGGGGCGCGAUGUUUUCCUCGAUUCUUACUCUCCCAGCCCCGCCCGCCGAUGGAGAUCUAGGCCCGAUUCCUCCUUCCCAGAUUUCCGCCGAUGUCUCUAUCAGUGAGCCUCAGGAUCAGAAAGAACUCCCGCCGCCUCCUCCAGCUCCGGUCGCCACUCACACGAGAACAAUUGGUAUCAUCCAUCCUCCGCCAGAUGUUCGAAUGAUCAUAGAUAAGACUGCAACUUUCGUCGCCAAAAAUGGCCCUGAGUUCGAAAAGAGAAUACUUGCUCAUAAUGCCGGGAACAACAAGUUCAAUUUUUUGAUUUCUUCGGAUCCUUAUCAUGCAUACUAUCAGCAUAAAGUUUCAGAGCAACGUGCCUUGGCUCAAAGUGCCCCUCAGCUGCCCCCAGGAGACGCCUCUCAAGCGACGGAUGCUGCCCCUUUGCCUUCUGAUGGCUCGAUUGCCCCUACAUCUGCAACUGCACCAUCCGAUGAGGCAGCAGCUAAGGUCGACCCUGCUGCUCAGUUCAGGAUUCCUCCAAAGAAGGUCCUUGAGCCACCUGACGCUGAACAAUACACAGUUAGGCUCCCUGAAGGAAUCACUGGUGAGGAAUUGGACAUAAUUAAGCUCACUGCACAGUUUGUCGCACGCAAUGGGAAGAACUUCCUGACCAAUCUUUCAAACCGUGAGAUGAGCAACCCUCAAUUCCACUUCUUGAAGCCAACACACAGCAUGUUCACGUUCUUCACGACUUUGACGGAUGCAUACUCCAAGGUGCUGAUGCCUCCAACAGGGCUGACAGAAAAGCUGCAUAAAAGCAUCAGGGAUAGGACAACAGUGCUCGAGAGAUGUUUGCACCGUUUGGAAUGGGAGCGGUCUCAGGAACAAGCUAGGCUUUUGGCUGAGGAUGAGAUCGAGCAGGAGAGGAUGCAAAUGGCGAUGAUUGAUUGGCAUGAUUUUGUUGUGGUCGAAACCAUUGAGUUCGCUGAUGACGAGGAAGAAGAGCUUCCCAUGCCAAUGACAUUGGAUCAGGUCAUAAGGAGGAGCAAGAUGUCUGCAUUGGAUGAAGAGGAACCAAAUCAAAUAGCUGAACCAGGCAAAGAGAUGGAGAUGGAGAUGGAUGAAGAAGAGAUACAACUUGUUGAGGAAGGAAUGAGAGCUGCAAGACUUGAGGAGAAUGGCAUGGAUGAGAAAAGGAGUGAAAUAAAGGCACCUAGUGAUGAGCCUGAGCCUCCAAUGCGGAUAGUGAAGAACUGGAAGAGGCCUGAGGAGAGGAUUCAUGCUGAACGAGAUCCAACAAACUUUGUGAUUUCACCCAUCACCAAUGAGCUAAUUCCUAUCAAUGAGAUGGCAGAGCACAUGCGCAUCUCUCUCAUCGAUCCCAAAUACAAGGAGCAGAAGGAAAGAAUGAUGGCUAAAAUCCGGGAGACUACUCUUGCUCCUGAUGAUGAGAUUUCCAAGAACAUUGUUGGGCUUGCACGAACUCGUCCUGAUAUUUUUGGCACCACAGAAGAAGAAGUAUCUAAUGCUGUUAAAGCAGAAAUUGAGAAAAAGAAGGAUGAGCAGCCAAAGCAGGUCAUAUGGGAUGGACACUCAGGAAGUAUUGGGCGCACUGCCACUCAAGCCUUAUCACAGGGUGCUACUGGUGAGGAACAAACUGAUGCUAACAGUGACUUGAGGUUACUUCCAGGUCCAGCACCAGCACCUAGACCUGGUGUGCCGUUAGUCCGCCCGCUUCCUCCACCUCCUGGAUUGGCACUAAAUAUUCCUCGUUUCCCACCGAACAUGGUUCCAUAUUCUGUUCCUGGAUCAGCUGGUGGUGUUGUCCCUCCUCCAAGGCCUGGCAUGAUGCCAAUGAUGCCUUCUGUGAGGCCUGCGCCUUCAUCUAUGCCUUUGAAUUCGUCACAGCAGCCCAUUAUGAUUAACCAGCAGCCAGGAAUUCAAGUCAACCCACCAAGCUUUCCUGUACCUCCCCCUCCUGGAUCCCAAUUUACACCGUUAGGGGUUCCUCGACCAUUUGUUCCAAUGCAUAUGCCACCGCCUAACAUGCAGAUGGUUCCUCCGCCUCCACCUCCAUAUGGAAUGCCACCACCUCCACCUCCAGAGGACGCUCCACCACUUCCUGAUGAACCUGAACCAAAACGGCAAAGAGUCGACGAUGUUUCUCUCAUUCCAGAGGAUCAGUUCCUUGCUCAACAUCCUGGAUCUGUCCGAGUUUCUGUAUUGGUUCCUAAUGUGGAUGAAGGAAACUUGAAAGGUCAACUUUUGGAGAUCACAGUCCAGUCUCUGGCUGAGACAGUUGGCAGUCUUAAGGAGAAAAUUGCAGCCGAGGUUCAGCUUCCUGCUAAUAAGCAGAAACUGAGUGCUCGGGCUGGUUUUCUCAAGGAUAAUCUUACGCUUGCAUACUACAACAUUGGCCUUGGUGAAGCUCUGACACUUGCUCUAAGGGAACGUGGCGGGAGGAAAAGAUGAACUUGUCUUGAAACAGAGAUGGUUAAAUAGAUUCAGAAUUCGGGUGCUAAUGUGUCUCUAUUUGUUGCCCAAAAUGAAUGUGUUCCUUCAAAGGGGCAAAACGUAGCAUCCUAUGGUUGCUUUGUUCAAUGUUCUUAAUCCUAGUUAAGGAGACAAAUUCUUCAGAUCUGUUGGAAUAUUCAGCUUGAUGAGAUUUCAAUUUGCCUGCAAUCAAGUUGGCACCAAUUUCAUGUGAAGCGAAGAUCUGGUCGGUUUUUUUUUAACUAUCUUCUGCAUAGUAGUUUAUUACAUGGAGUUUUUUAAUGUUUAGUCGCAGCGAACUGUUACAGUUUUAUUUAUUGAUUUGGAUGAUGAGAGUGGGCUAGAACUGAGAUACAGCAAGAAAACCUCCUUUUGGCAAA